UACGUAGGGUGCGAGCGUUGUCCGGAAUCAUUGGGCGUAAAGAGCGUGUAGGCGGCGCGAUAAGUCCGCUGUGAAAGUCCAGGGCUCAACCCUGGGAUGCCGGUGGAUACUGUCGGGCUCGAGUCCGGAAGAGGAGUGUGGAAUUCCUGGUGUAGCGGUGAAAUGCGCAGAUAUCAGGAGGAACACCAAUGGCGAAGGCAGCACUCUGGGACGUGACUGACGCUGAGACGCGAAAGCGUGGGGAGCAAACAGG
rnacentral:rRNA from 1 species